rnacentral:rRNA from 1 species
GUAGGUGGCAAGCGUUGUCCGGAAUUAUUGGGCGUAAAGCGCGCGCAGGCGGUUCUUUAAGUCUGAUGUGAAAGCCCACGGGCUCAACCGUGGAGGGUCAUUGGAAACUGGAGAACUUGAGUACAGAAGAGGAAAGCGGAAUUCCACGUGUAGCGGUGAAAUGCGUAGAGAUGUGGAGGAACACCAGUGGCGAAGGCGGCUUUCUGGUCUGUAACUGACGCCGAGGCGCGAAAGCGUGGGGAGCAAACAGGAUUAGAUACCCUGGUAGUCCACGCCGUAAACGAUGAGUGCUAAGUGUUAGGGGGUUUCCGCCCCUUAGUGCUGCAGCUAACGCAUUAAGCACUCCGCCUGGGGAGUACGGCCGCAAAGGCUG